CGUAGAUAAACACCAAAAUCAGAGAACAACGUAGCUUGGUAAGGGUGUUCCCUACACAGCUGAAGAAAUCACUCAAUAUCAUCCCGUCUUCUUUUCGAACUUUGUUUCAGGGACCCUGCUGGUUCAGACGGCCGACCAACAGGGAGUGCGGAAUGAGAGCCCGUCAGAGGACCUGGACUGGAUGACGCCUAGAGUAACUCACAGAGAGACUACAGAGGGAGAAGAGAAUGGUUCAUGGGAUGCUCAGCUCAGGGUAUGAUAACAAGUUUGUAGUCUGUCCUUCAGUUGUACCAAAGGGGCCUUUACCAACAUCAACCCAAUGUUAAGGCAUCUCCUCAUGGCUGCUUUGCUCCCCUUUCAAAUGGUAUUUUCCUCAAAUGCUGAUUGUUCGUGAUUCGUUAUUAGUUAACAUAAGUAGAAUUAAGGAAGGAUAAUGUGUUAUUGGACUUGAUCAGAAAACCAAGGAAACGGAUAGACUCGACAUGCUGUUAUAAAUUCCAUAAGAGAUGAAACCAACCAUUGCGCUGUCUUUCCCUAAUUGCUGUCUUUCUAAUAUAUGGAUAUAUUUAAAUAUAUUUCUAAGUAUAUAUUUUAAGUCUGUUUUUGUAGAAAUGAAAUAAUCCCAGGACGAUUGCGUUGCUCACAUACCAUUCAUCAUUCCUCAUUCUAUUCAUACAAAGCAACUUUGCCAAACAUGAAUCUUUGUGAGCAGCUUGCUGGGCUGUUUUUGAAGAUGCUUAAAAAUCUACAUAAUGAGUUUCUUUUUUUGCAUGCCAAUUGCUAUUGUAAUAUGCUCCUACAAAAAAUGAAACUCUAGGGACAUUUCGUUUAGGUGCCUAAUACCUGUCAUAGCAGAGUGCAUUUCAUGGCGCUUUCUAGUUUCUAAAAAAAAAACAGUUGUUAACUGUUCGUCAAAAGUCAUGCAAGAACCAUUGUUGAGACGACACGCCCAUAUUUGUGAUCAUUCUUAUAUAAAGUUCGCCUGCAAACAAGCUCAAAUAGCAGGUCACGUUCGUUCCCUAUUGCAUCGAAAGAGAAACAGUUACCAUUGCUCUCAAGAAGUUGUUUCUGGUUUGCGCAAAUGGGUUAUGUAUUUAAACAAAGUGAUGGUAUUCUUAAAGUAUAUUGAAUAGAGGUCAGGCACAAAUGCAAAACGCUACUCUUAGGGUUAUGCCCCGUGUGCAAGUGCGCUCGAAAGC